rnacentral:lncRNA from 1 species
AGGGGUCUUGGUAGCAAAAAGAGAAGUUAGGGUAUUCAUAUGGAUGAAUGGAGAUGGAUGAUGAAAAUCUCCAUUCCUAUUGGCUAAAAAUCAUGUCCAAUGGUCUUCAAGGAGGUUGCCCGAGGCCUUAUUAGGGAUUAGGGUAGUUCUUUCAGAGGCAUUUGAGCUUUGGAGGCUAAGAUCAGUAAGUUUAAGUUUUUGGCUAUAAUUUUGGUGAAAAUUUUGUGUGAUUUGGAGUUUAUAUGAAAGAAAAGUUAAGGUGUUGUUUUUGUACCUAUUGUAACUUUUUUAGACAUAAUGUGUGUAUAUAGAAAGCAAUAAAGGAUUGGCAACUAGGGUUGGAGAGAACACUUUCACGGCUAUACUU